GAGUUUGAUCGUGGCUCAGGAUGAACGCUGGCGGCGUGCCUAACACAUGCAAGUCGAACGUUAGAGUUUAGCAAUAGACUCGAAAGUGGCGAACGGGUGAGUAACACGUGGAUAACUUGCCGCGCAGAGGGGGAUAACGACUGGAAACGGUCGCUAAUACCGCAUGGUACUAGGGAAUGGGGACAUUUCUUGGUUAAAACUUUGGUGCUGCGCGAGGGGUCUGCGUCCGAUUAGUUAGUUGGUGAGGUAACGGCUCACCAAGACGAUGAUCGGUAGCUAGUCUGAGAGGAUGAUUAGCCACACGGGAACUGAGACACGGUCCCGACUCCUACGGGGGCAGCAGUGAGGAAUAUUGCACAAUGGACGAAAGUCUGAUGCAGCAACGCCGCGUGGAGGAUGAAGGUCUUUGGAUUGUAAACUCCUUUUCUCAGGGAAGAGAAUGGACGGUACCUGAGGAAUAAGUCACGGCUAACUACGUGCCAGCCGCCGCAGUAAU
rnacentral:rRNA from 1 species